UUUUGUUUUGCCUGGUGAUUUUUUUAUUUUGAGUACCAGGCGUUGAAUCUUGUGUGUGAUUUCCAAUUUUUUGAUGCAUUUGAUUUGGUUUGAUUUAGUUGUGGAUUUUUUUUAUAUGUUUUUAUUGACUCUUGGAUUAACCUUCUGUCUGCUAAUUUUGAUGGAAAAUCGUGACUCGUUCAUUGUUUCGAACCUUCGUAAUUAAUGCAAUCGGAUGUUUAGAGAAAAAUAAUUGACGUAAAUUAGCAUUUCGUGUCCAUGGUUACGAAUGCUGGACUGGAAAUGGAUUUUAUACGAGUGCAGGAAGCUGUUAUUGUAUUUUUUCCUCUGGAUAUGAAAGAUGAAUUCCUUCACUUCAUCAGUACGUUUCGUAGAUUUGAUUUUCUUGUUUUUGGUUUUGAUCUUUGGCAUUCAUUUCCUUAUACUAUCUUUUCACGCUGGAGGAAGUUCGACGUUUUCUUUUCAUAUUCGUAGACAUGUUGAUGAUCAGAUCAAAUUGUAUGAACUCUGUAAAUGUCAUGUUAUUUGCUCAUGGUCAAGGAGUAUCUAAGUCCUGUUGAUAUGCCGUAUCAAGAACUGCUAAAUCUGCGUAUCUGUAGCGUAGGCUUGUCUUAUCCAAUGCUGUUAUAUCAGCAAAAUUCUGAUAAAUUAAGGCGGCAUUUUCAUUCAUCUGUUCACAUUAUCAUCAGUUCUUAAAGGGUUUAUAUAUUUGUUUCUUAGCUCAUCCAGAAUCCUAUGCAGCAACUGUCCACUUAUACCGGUGGCUGUUGUUUUCUAUAUCCCAGCCCCAGGUCCUUGUGCUUAGUUUAAAGAGGGAAGAUCCUCUAAUGGGUACUUACAUAUUCUAUUCUCUUCAGUAUUGAAAAUUCAUAAGGGGCUACUGGUGAAGAGAACCCUGUCAUUAACGCCUUCUAUUUUUCCCUUUUGGGUUAAAACACAUAUUAGCAAAA